rnacentral:rRNA from 1 species
AGCGGGAUUAGUAGCAAUACUAUGAGAGCGGCGGACGGGUGCGUAACGCGUAUGUAACCUGCCUUAUGCAGGGGGAUAGCCCAUGGAAACGUGGAUUAAUACCCCAUAGUAUUGAGAGGCCGCAUGGUUUUUCAAUUAAAAUUUCGGUGGCAUAAGAUGGACAUGCGUCUGAUUAGGUAGUUGGUAGGGUAACGGCCUACCAAGCCGACGAUCAGUAGGGGUCCUGAGAGGGUUACCCCCCACACUGGAACUGAGACACGGUCCAGACUCCUACGGGAGGCAGCAGUGAGGAAUAUUGGUCAAUGGCCGGAAGGCUGAACCAGCCAUCCCGCGUGCAGGAAGACGGCCCUAUGGGUUGUAAACUGCUUUUGUGCAGGAAUAAUAUGCCUUACGUGUAGGGUAUUGAAGGUAUUGUACGAAUAAGCAUCGGCUAACUCCGUGCCAGCAGCCGCGGUAAUACGGAGGAUGCAAGCGUUAUCCGGAUUUAUUGGGUUUAAAGGGUGCGCAGGCGGGCUUGUAAGUCAGUGGUGAAAUACUGCCGCUUAACGGUAGGAUUGCCAUUGAUACUGCAGGUCUUGAGUAUGGUUGAGGUAGGUGGAAUGUGCAGUGUAGCGGUGAAAUGCAUAGAUAUUGUACAGAACGCCGAUUGCGGAGGCAGCUUACUAAGCCAUUACUGACGCUGAGGCACGAAAGCGUGGGGAUCGAACAGGAUUAGAUACCCUGGUAGUCCACGCCGUAAACGAUGUUCACUCGCUGUUUGCGAUAUACAGCAAGCGGCUAAGCAAAAGCGUUAAGUGAACC